UACGUAGGUGGCAAGCGUUGUCCGGAUUUAUUGGGUUUAAAGGGUGCGUAGGCGGCUUGAUAAGUCAGUGGUGAAAGCCGAUCGCUUAACGAUCGAACUGCCAUUGAUACUGCCAGGCUUGAGUAUAGUUGAGGUAGGCGGAAUUGACAGUGUAGCGGUGAAAUGCAUAGAUAUUGUCAAGAACACCAAAUUGCGAAGGCAGCUUACUAAAGUAUAACUGACGCUGAGGCACGAAAGUGCGGGGAUCAAACAGG
rnacentral:rRNA from 1 species